rnacentral:misc_RNA from 1 species
GGAAAGGCAAGCUAAGGACAGUUGUUCUUCGUCGUCUUCUACCUCUCCAGCAGUCUGAUGCAGCGCGACAAAGCUACUGCUGUAGCAGACCUGCGUCUCCGUCCUUGGCAGCUCAAGAUUGAUCCACGUAGCGUCUCUAGGACAGAAGAUUGAUCGAGGGCGUCCAUUCGUCCUUUGCCCUUUCGAAAUAGUUUGAAGGCUCAGAAAAAGAGUGUCUCCCCUUAAUUGUGAAAGUUUUUGGGGUUCAAAUUUUGAAUGGACCCAUUGUUCUUUGGAUUUUUCCUCAUCUCCCCCCCAAAUUUCGACCUAUAUAAAACUGACUUUCUUCUCUAUUAAUGGGGGUGGGGGGAUAUUUUGAGAAGAAAAUACCAGAGAGGUUUUUGUGAGUUGGGAAAUUUUUGGCGAAGAACUACGUAAGCCGCAUUAAAAUACUCCUUGGAAUUGUUCUUGUUUCGUUGUCUGAAGAUUGCUAGGACUCGUAGAAACUCCCAGGGUUCGGAGUUUGUGGUGAAGUACUCCGUAAAUCGUUGCCGUCCCAGUUGCGCUGCCCCUAUAAAGUCCCUCGGGAAUCCUUGUUUCCUCUUGCAUCCGUUAAUUGAGCUGGGAAAGCUCAAUUUUUCCCAUCGAUUCAGCUAUCUUGGCAACUUUAGGAGGUAGCUGGAAAGGCUGAAGACAGCAAUAUAUUGCUGGAAAUCAAUUUUCCAGCCCCCA